rnacentral:rRNA from 1 species
GACGAACGCUGGCGGCGUGCUUAACACAUGCAAGUCGAACGGUGACCCAGGGCUUGCCCUGGUGAUCAGUGGCGAACGGGUGAGUAACACGUGGGCAACCUGCCCCUGACUUCGGGAUAACUCCUCGAAAGAGGAGCUAAUACCGGAUACGACCACUUCGGACAUCCGAUGGUGGUGGAAAGUUUUUCGGUCAGGGAUGGGCCCGCGGUCUAUCAGCUAGUUGGUGGGGUAAUGGCCUACCAAGGCGACGACGGGUAGCCGGCCUGAGAGGGCGACCGGCCACACUGGGACUGAGACACGGGCCCAGACUCCUACGGGAGGCAGCAGUGGGGAAUAUUGCGCAAUGGGCGAAAGCCUGACGCAGCGACGCCGCGUGAGGGAUGAAGGCCUUCGGGUUGUAAACCGUCUUUCAGCAGGACGAAGCGAAAGUGACGGUACCUGCAGAGAAGCACCGGCUAACUACGUGCCAGCAGCCGCGGUAAU